UACGGAGGGUGCAAGCGUUAUCCGGAUUCACUGGGUUUAAAGGGAGCGCAGGCGGAUUGGUAAGUCAGUGGUGAAAGGCUUAAGCUUAACUUGGGAACUGCCAUUGAUACUAUCAGUCUUGAAUGUUGUUGAGGUUUGCGGAAUGGGUCAUGUAGCGGUGAAAUGCUUAGAUAUGUAACGGAACACCUAUUGCGAAGGCAGCUCGCUACACUAUUAUUGACGCUGAGGCACGAAAGCGUGGGGAGCAAACAGG
rnacentral:rRNA from 1 species